rnacentral:lncRNA from 1 species
GAGCGCACCUGGUCGGGCCAUAUCCUUAGUACAGAACCGAACUCAUGUUUUCUAAGGGUCUACUGGCUUGGGACAAAGAUAGUCUCUACUCCUUUGCAACCGCAUCUUAAAUUUUGGCACUGGAACCUAGGCUGGGUACCAGGCAGCCAGGGAGUUGCAAACUUUGGGGAAGAAGUGAGAACAAGAGGAGCAGGGAAGAAGGGGAACAUGGGAACACGGAUGAGAAAGCUGGAUCUGGCCCUCUGAGAAAACAGCCCCGUGUGGAGCCAGGACUUUGGUUUCUCAUGACCUUUCUCCUCAAGC